rnacentral:rRNA from 1 species
UACGGGGGGGGCAAGCGUUGUUCGGAAUUACUGGGCGUAAAGGGCGCGUAGGCGGCGCGGUAAGUCGGGUGUGAAAUCUCGGAGCUUAACUCCGAAACUGCAUUCGAUACUGCCGUGCUUGAGGACUGGAGAGGAGACUGGAAUUUACGGUGUAGCGGUGAAAUGCGUAGAUAUCUGGAGGAAUACCGGUGGCGAAGGCGGCAUCCUGGACCGGCAUUGACGCUGAUGAGCGAAAGCUAGGGGAGCAAACGGG